rnacentral:lncRNA from 1 species
AAUAAUUCCGGCAAAGAGGACACACUUAGAGAUUAAAUCUAUUGUCAAAAUUUUGUAUUAAAAUAUGUUUGCAUUCAGUAGACUCUGAGUCCAAGGAAUAGAUAUCACCUAUUGGUGUGCUUUAGUACUCCUGCGUCAUUUGUAGUAAUACUGUCAUGACUUAACAUUGGCUAGGUCUUUCCAUUUAUAAACUCAGUAUUGCAUCUCUGUCUCAAUCAUAAUGAAUGUUGCAUGAGUUCCUUCCGAAGAAAAUUGUGUCAAGAUAAAUGUUCACCGCUUUUCAUCAGAAGUUCCUCUUCCAAAUGGCAACUCCGACAGGAUUGGUGUUCUCAAGAAUGCAGAUGGCCGGAGACUGUGGGGAGCUUGUGUCCUUAUGCAUCACAUGACUAAUGUCAAAGCCGUCAUGUGGGGGAUACAAUCAGGAGAUGCCAGAUGUGUUGAACUGUGUUUUCACAAUCCAUGCAAAUAACUUCAAACUCGUCAAAACAGAUCGCAUUGUCACUCGAGUCCGAGAUAAAAUGCAGCGUAAGAAAUGGCUCAUGAAGAUGCCAUGUUGACAAACAAAGCUCAGGUCCCUUUAGGGGUUGAAGUUUAUUAUAUUAUAUUUUAAUAAUUAAUAAUUUAAAAUUAUUUUAGUUUUUCAAAAUUAUUACAAAUAAUCAUUUUUCUAAAACUCUACGCAACACACGUAUUUGACUAUUGCAACAUGAAAUGGACAUGAAUGAUUAUCAUUGUUGUUGGUAUGGAUUAGUAGUAACAUAAUUUUGCAACACUCAGUGUUCAUAAAAUUGCCUAGGCCAUCUAUUAUGAUGUAGUGCUUGAAUGUAGUUUUCAGUGGUGUAACAUGGCAGCUAAUAUUUUUAAUUUUUGUUUUUCUAGGUAAUUUCUAGUGGUAGCUUCUCUUAGGAAGGCAUGCCCUCUUCACAUGUUAUGCUUGUAUGAUUGCUGGUCAGGGCUAUGGUCUGUGAUGUAUUUUUAUCUUAUUAAUGGAAUAUCCAUGUUUAUCAAAUCUAUGGUGUAUUUUUAUCUUAUUAAUGGAAUAUCCAUGUUUAUCAAAAAAAAAAGAUAAGGGCUCUAAUCUUUAAUUAAUAUUGUAU